CGGGUGAGUAACACGUGGGUGACCUGCCCUUAGCUCUGGGAUAAGCCUGGGAAACUGGGUCUAAUACCGGAUAUGACCUCCAUGACGCAUGUUGUGGGGUGGAAAGCCUUGUGCGGCUAGGGAUGGGCCCGCGGCCCAUCAGCUUGUUGGUGGGGUGAUGGCCUACCAAGGCGACGACGGGUAGCCGGCCUGAGAGGGCGACCGGCCACACUGGGACUGAGACACGGCCCAG
rnacentral:rRNA from 1 species